UACUGGUUAAUUUCAACUCCACU
rnacentral:miRNA from 1 species